rnacentral:rRNA from 1 species
CGUGUAGGCGGGUGUAUAAGUCAGAAGUGAAAUCCUAUAGCUUAACUAUAGAACUGCUUUUGAAACUGUAUACCUAGAAUGUGGGAGAGGUAGAUGGAAUUUCUGGUGUAGGGGUAAAAUCCGUAGAGAUCAGAAGGAAUACCGAUUGCGAAGGCGAUCUACUGGAACAUUAUUGACGCUGAGACGCGAAAGCGUGGGGAGCGAACA